AUCACUGGCAUUAUGUAUGUGACAAUUCUCUUAGAAGCAUCAUUGCUACUCAAAUUAUUACAGAUUCUUAUAACAAGGCACAUGCCUGAUAAAAUGCAAACUUUUAUUAGUUCCUUUACCAACCUUUCAGCAUAUUAGACAUGACUGACAUUGUAACUUAAAACUUGUCAGGAACAAUAGAAGAUAUUCAGAGCAUGGGUUUGAGUGGAGAAGUCCACAAAGCUGUGCUGUUGUUUUCUUGCAGCAGUCUGACAAUACCUUAAUGAACUCUGGCCUUAAGCUCAGACUCUGACAACACACCAAAACAUAAUCAUUCUUGAAGGUGAGCUUGAAAUUCCACCCAAAUAUUUCUGCAGCAAUUUGUCCCUGGGACUUUGCAUGAAUCACAUUCAGCCCAAGUACUCACAGCUGCAGGUGACAGAGCACGAUGGCUGACCUCUAUCAGGAUAUUUGUUCCUCCAUCACAUGUUUCCAGCAGUUUAUGGAUGACAGAUAAGCAGUGCUCAGGAGUCCCUGCCAAGCUCUGUACACCUGACAAGUAUGAAAAGGACACAGAAGAAAACUUGGAAGCAAGCAGGAUCUUGCCGUACAAAACCUUCCUAAAAAUCAGGUUUGUUCACUAUAGCUAAAAAUAGAAGAUGCCCUCACUUUGGUAAAGGAAUCCUCAGAGAACCUGAGCAAGGCAGUCAGACUGCACGUCUGCACAAGUUCCUGAAAAGAGCUGUGGGAAGAAACCAUGAAAAAUAGUUUACAAGCACCUGCAGAAGCUAGGUAGAGAUGGCCACAAAAAUUUGUGGCUAAAACCAGCUGACAAAACACAAGCCCCCAAGGGAGUUGCCAGCUCUGGAACAUGAGAUGUUGCACUAGCAUCCAUUUCCCACCUCCUCCAGAAAGAAGAGACAAGGGGGAUACAAGUACAGGACUUCAGCAGGAAACACAUAAACCAGAACGCCACUCAGAGGAGUAUGUUAAGUUCUUCUGUAGACCAAGACAUCCUGACUGCUACUUUUUUGAUACCUGGAUACACAGCUCAUGUGUCUGGUUGCUCCUAUGAAUAUCCAGGCUGGUAAGUUUUCACAGUGAAGGGAGAAGAACCUGUUCUUUAUGUUCAUGUAGUUUGAAUGAAAAUACCAUGAAUGAAAUACAUCUGAUUGAUAAGGAUAUUAUUAAUUUUUUUUAAUAUAAAAGAUCAUGAGGAAGGAGAGGGAAAGACUUAGUCACCAUCCAUUACUUUAUUAAGUGCUGCAGAAAAAAAAAGACACAUUGUACUGUUAUUUUCUGUCUCCUGAUUUGUUAACUUGAGUUAAUUUUAUUCGCUCUUGAGUAGAUUUUCCACAGCUGUCUCCUUUUACACUUGAUCUUCCUGCUUGAUACAGUCCCAUCACAGGCAGACCCAGCACACAUGCUGUUCAGCUGCUGUGUGUGUCCUUCAGUCCUCUUUAAUUGGUGCACAGUUUGCACUCUGUACAGGGAUUCCACAAGGACAGAAUUUGUGCAGGCAAGGUGCCAGACCGCUGUUCCCUGGAAAGGCAGAUGUUCCGUCCCAGCGGUCGCGUGGCUGGCACGGUCCUGCCGAGGGAGCACAGCAGAGAUCUGUGCCUCCCUCUCAAAUCACACACACAGCUACUGCCCCGCCAAGUUAACUGCCUCCGAUUUUUGAAGUGAGCUGGUUUUUUUUGCCAUUCAUUUGGAAAUAAUUUGAAAGCAAAACAAGCAAAGCACAUCAAAAUAACUGCAACCCUGGGUAAAAAGGGAAAAGAACUCUACCGAGGCUUAGAACACCUUGUAAAUUGCUUCUCAUGAAAGACACACACAGCAAAACGCUGUCAUCUGAAUUUAAAAAAAAAAAGUAUGAUGAUUGUGCUUGUUAAUUGUGUUUGUUUUCUUAUGACUAAUUUAUUUAGACAAUUGAGAAAGCUAAAGCAUUUGAACUGAUUUUCCAUUUGUUUGGCUAUUAAAGUUCCUCUGUGAAAUGUAUGUUUACUUAAAGCAUCUCCAGCUACCCAUUUACAAUGUAUUUGCUAAAUUAGUUAAGAGACUUUAAUUGGGCACUGGGGAUUUGUUGUGUUAUUCCCAAUUCUGUUUACUAAAAAUACAUGAGAACAGUGAGCAAUUUAUUUAUAACCUUGUUAUAUGAGGCCAUUACCAACAUCAGAUUUUUUUCUUAACUUAUUUUUAAUUUGCAUUGACAGAAUUCAAGUCAUGUUUGCUUUUCUUUCUGUUUUUGUUAGUGCAGCCUAAAAACUGUUGCUAGUUAAAUACAAUGGAACCACAUAUUUUAUUUGGAACAGUUUUCAUAAUAUUUGGAACAGCGAUCAUAGAUGUGGACCCCCUCCAAAAAAGCAACAAUAUUGAAUCACCAUAAGAGAAUGCUGUCUUUCUUUUGCAUCCCAUUAAGGUAAAUAGUUUGAGAAGGUAAAUAUAUUUGAGGUUAAAAAUGCACUGUGCUUCAUUGGCAUUAUCAUCAAAUAGACACUUCCUUAUUUUGAUCCCAUCCUUGCCGUUUCAUACCAAUUACAAUACAACAAACCAAUAAAACUCCUAUGGCAGGACUUUGGUUCCAGUGCCCCUCUG